GCCCUCUCAGGAUCACACCUGGAGAGUUUCCAGUACUCUACCAGUCUCGACUACAAGAGGGAGAGUGAAGCAGAAACCUGUCCUUUCCAUUCCUAGCUUGGCCAGUGGCUAGUGAGUGGCAGGAGAUCUGCUACAAGU